rnacentral:rRNA from 1 species
GACGAACGCUGGCGGCGUGCUUAAUACAUGCAAGUCGAGCGAACAGAUGCGGAGCUUGCUCCUCUGACGUUAGCGGAGGAGGGGUGAGUAACACGUGGAUACCGUACCUAUAAGAGUGAGAUAACCUCGGAACAGCGGCGCUAAUCCGGGAUAAUAUAUUGAACCGCAUGGUUCGCUAGUGAAUGACGGUUUUGCUGUCACUUAUAGAUGGAUCCGAGCCGGAUUAGCGAGUUGGUACGGUAACGGCUUUCCACGGCAACGAUGCUUAGCCGACCGGAAAGAGGGAUAGACUACAUUGGAAGUGAGACUGGGCCCAGACGCCUGCGGUAGGCCGCAGUACGGAAUCGUCCGCAAUGGGGGAGAGCCUGACAGAGCAACGCGGCGUGAGUGAUGAAGGUCUUCGGAGCGGAAAGCUCUGUUAUGAGUGGAGAACAAAUGUGUAAUUAACCGUGCCGGUAUUGACGGUACCGGAUCAAAAAGCCACGGCUAACUACGUG